AUUGAACGCUGGCGGUAGGCCUAACACAUGCAAGUCGAACGCGAAAGUCCUUCGGGAUGAGUAGAGUGGUGGACGGGUGAGUAACGCGUAGGAAUCUAUCCUGUAGUGGGGGAUAACGUUUCGAAAGGAACGCUAAUACCGCAUACGCCCCAAGGGGGAAAGCGGGGGAUCUUCGGACCUCGUGCUAUAGGAGGAGCCUGCGUCGGAUUAGCUAGUUGGUGAGGUAAAGGCUCACUAAGGCGACGAUCCGUAGCUGGUCUGAGAGGAUGAGCGACCACACCAGAACUGAGACACGGUCCGGACUCCUGCGGGAGGCAGCAGUGGGGAAUAUUGAGCAGUGGGCGAAAGCCUGACGCAGCCAUACCGCGUGUGUGAAGAAGGCCUUCGGGUUCUAAAGCACUUUCAGCGGGGAGGAAAAGCUGGUGGCUAAUAUCCAUCGGCCGUGACGCUACCCACAGAAGAAGCACCGGCUAAUUCCGUACCAGCAGCCGCGGUAAGAC
rnacentral:rRNA from 1 species